rnacentral:rRNA from 1 species
GACGAACGCUGGCGGCGUGCUUAACACAUGCGAGUCGAACGGAAAGGCCCUGCUUUUGUGGGGUGCUCGAGUGGCGAACGGGUGAGUAACACGUGAGUAACCUGCCCUUGACUUUGGGAUAACUUCAGGAAACUGGGGCUAAUACCGGAUAGGAGCUCCUGCUGCAUGGUGGGGGUUGGAAAGUUUCGGCGGUUGGGGAUGGACUCGCGGCUUAUCAGCUUGUUGGUGGGGUAGUGGCUUACCAAGGCUUUGACGGGUAGCCGGCCUGAGAGGGUGACCGGCCACAUUGGGACUGAGAUACGGCCCAGACUCCUACGGGAGGCAGCAGUGGGGAAUAUUGCACAAUGGGCGGAAGCCUGAUGCAGCAACGCCGCGUGCGGGAUGACGGCCUUCGGGUUGGAAACCGCUUUCGCCUGUGACGAAGCGGGAGUGACGGUAAUGGGUAAAGAAGCACCGGCUAACUACGUG